rnacentral:rRNA from 1 species
UUAAAUUGAGAGUUUGAUCCUGGCUCAGGAUGAACGCUGGCGGCGUGCUUAACACAUGCAAGUCGAGCGAUGAAGUUUCCUUCUGGAAACGGAUUAGCGGCGGACGGGUGAGUAACACGUGGGUAACCUGCCUCAUAGAGUGGAAUAGCCUUCCGAAAGGAAGAUUAAUACCGCAUAAUGUUGAAAGAUGGCAUCAUCAUUCAACCAAAGGAGCAAUCCGCUAUGAGAUGGACCCGCGGCGCAUUAGCUAGUUGGUGGGGUAACGGCCUACCAAGGCGACGAUGCGUAGCCGACCUGAGAGGGUGAUCGGCCACAUUGGGACUGAGACACGGCCCAGACUCCUACGGGAGGCAGCAGUGGGGAAUAUUGCACAAUGGGGGAAA